AUAACAAUCAGGUUGUUGAGUUUAUUUUGGAACUGAGUUUGCAUUUGUUUUAGUGAGUCAUAUAGCAUGGGUGGCAAUGAGUUUAAGAAGCCACUUUUGGAGAAAGUGUAUUAUGAAGGUUGUCCUGGGUGCUGUGUUGAUCAGAAGAAAGAAGUGCAAACCGGAUUACCGAUAAAGGAAGUGUUUUGUAUAUGGAUUGUGACGCUCUCCGUUACACUGCCAAUAUCAUCUCUCUUUCCAUUUCUUUAUUUUAUGGUAAGGGAUUUUAACAUUGCAGAGGAAGAGGAGGACAUUAGUUACUAUGCAGGCUAUGUAGGGUCUACAUAUAUGAUUGGAAGGGCACUGACAUCUGUUUUCUGGGGAGUGGUUGCGGAUCGAUAUGGUCGAAAACCAGUUAUUCUUUUGGGCACUUCAUCAGUGGUUAUUUUCAACACACUUUUCGGUUUUAGUGUCAACUAUUGGAUGGCUAUUGUUACCAGGUUUCUUCUUGGCUUUUUAAAUGGGCUACUUGGAACUGUAAAGGCAUAUGCGUCUGAACUUUUGCGUGAGGAACAUCGAGCUUUAGCAUUGUCAUCUAUUAGUACAGCAUGGGGGAUAGGACUGGUCAUUGGUCCGGCUGUGGGAGGUUUUCUUGCACAGCCUGCAGAGAAAUUUCCAAGUCUAGUAUCUCCUGAUUCUCUAUUUGGGAGAUUUCCAUACCUAUUGCCUUGUCUUUGCAUCUCCACUUUCGCACUUUUCGUGACCAUUGUUGCAAUUUGGCUUCCGGAAACAUUGCACAUUCAUAAAAAUAAUGAGUUGGAGUCUGCUUCCAAUGUACCUGAUGUUGAGGAAAAGACAGUUGAGAAAAAAGAUUCUACUUUAUUGAGCCUUCUCAAGAACUGGCCAUUAAUGUCUUCUAUCAUUGUCUACUGUGUUUUCUCUCUUCAAAACAUGGCUUACAAUGAGAUUUUCUCAUUAUGGGCCGUUAGCCCGAGGAGUUUAGGGGGACUUAGUUAUACUACUGAGGAUGUUGGCACAGUCCUAUCUAUCACAGGGGUGGGCCUUCUCGUUUUCCAAACCGCAUUGUAUCCAAUUGCAGAGAGGACAUUUGGACCCAUAAUGGUAGCUCGCAUCUCAGGGGUAACUGGGUUAUGUCUAUACCCCUACUCUCAAGUUAUCCUUACAUAGCAAUGUUAUCUGGUUCCAUGCUCUUCUUCACACUAAAUUGUGCAUCGAUUGUGAAGAACGUUUUAUCAGCGUCCAUCAUAACUGGGACCUUCAUGCUGCAAAAUAAAGCUGUGGAUCAACACCAAAGAGGCAUGGCCAAUGGUAUUGCCAUGACUUUGCAGUCAGCAUUUCAAGCAAUUGGUCCGGCAUGUGGCGGAGCACUUUUGUCAUGGACUCAAAAGAGACAACAUGCAGCAUUUCUUCCUGGCGACCAACUGAUAUUUUUUUAUCUUAAAUGCGAUCGGGGGAGUUGGAGUUCUGCUGACAUUCAAACCAUUUUUGACUACAAACCAUUAUUAGUUGCGAGCACCUGAAAUGAAAACUUGAACCCUCAAUUCCUACGCACCUUUAAGAUCCUGUGUACCAUAACUCUAGUCGGGCGGUCGGUUGUUCAAAUGAUUUAAGUAACAAUUCACACAUGGAUAUUGUAAACUGGUUUGAAUUAAAUCUGUCACUUAUAACAGAGGGGAACCCUUAAUAUAUACAGGAAAGAAACCUAAAAAACCUAGUUUUGGUUAUAUACAACUAAACCUUAAUUAUACAAUACUAAUAUCCUAUUUAAAAGACAUUCAAGAACAUCGAUAUUAGUCGUCGUUGUAACCGUGAAAUAGACUGAGUUUUCUUGUUUCCGUUCAUAAUACCCAUUUAAGCACAUUUACAAUCAACGUAAGCCGCCUUGUAAGGUUAAUUAGAGAGACCAAACCUUAAGGUUGUCAUUCUCACUACAAGGAAAAAAAACCUUAUAGAGAGGACAUUUUUUCAGCCUAUAGAGAGGACAUGUUGUUUCUAUAGGCCUUUUUCACCUAUAGAGACGACAUAUCGUCUCUAUAAAAUUUGUCUUUACAGCCUCAUCUACAAGAGUCGUCUCUAUAGGUGUCGUUGCUAUAGAUU